rnacentral:rRNA from 1 species
ACUUAGUGGCGGACGGGUGAGUAACACGUGGGAACGUGCCUUUAGGUUCGGAAUAACUCAGGGAAACUUGUGCUAAUACCGAAUGUGCCCUUCGGGGGAAAGAUUUAUCGCCUUUAGAGCGGCCCGCGUCUGAUUAGCUAGUUGGUGAGGUAAAGGCUCACCAAGGCGACGAUCAGUAGCUGGUCUGAGAGGAUGAUCAGCCACAUUGGGACUGAGACACGGCCCAAACUCCUACGGGAGGCAGCAGUGGGGAAUCUUGCGCAAUGGGCGAAAGCCUGACGCAGCCAUGCCGCGUGAAUGAUGAAGGUCUUAGGAUUGUAAAAUUCUUUCACCGGGGACGAUAAUGACGGUACCCGGAGAAGAAGCCCCGGCUAACUUCGUGCCAGCAGCCGCGGUAAUACGAAGGGGGCUAGCGUUGCUCGGAAUUACUGGGCGUAAAGGGAGCGUAGGCGGACAUUUAAGUCAGGGGUGAAAUCCCGGGGCUCAACCUCGGAAUUGCCUUUGAUACUGGGUGUCUUGAGUGUGAGAGAGGUAUGUGGAACUCCGAGUGUAGAGGUGAAAUUCGUAGAUAUUCGGAAGAACACCAGUGGCGAAGGCGACAUACUGGCUCAUUACUGACGCUGAGGCUCGAAAGCGUGGGGAGCAAACAGGAUUAGAUACCCUGGUAGUCCACGCCGUAAACGAUGAUUGCUAGUUGUCGGGAUGCAUGCAUUUCGGUGACGCAGCUAACGCAUUAAGCA